rnacentral:rRNA from 1 species
AAGUGUAAAAAGCUUGGCGAAUAAGGGGUGGGUAAGACUGGUGCCAGCCGCCGCGGUAACACCAGCGCCUCGAGUGGGGAUCGCGAUUAUUGGGUCUAAAGCGUCCGUAGCAGGCUCGGUAAAUGCUUUGUGAAAUCGGCAGGCUUAACCUGUCGGCGUGCAGAGUAGACUGCAGGGCUCGAGAUCGGGAGAGGUUAGAAGUAUUCCUAGGGUACCGGUAAAAUGGGUUAAUCCUGGGAGGACUACCUAUGGCGAAGGCAUCUAACCAGAACGAUUCUGACUGUGAGGGACGAAAGCUAGGGGAGCAAAACGGAUUAGAUACCCGAGUAGUCCUAGCCGUAAACGCUGCGAGCAAGGUAUUGCGCCUCCCACGAGGAUGCGCAGUGUCGAAGAGAAGUCGUUAAGCUCGCCACCAGGGAAGUACGGUCGCAAGGCUGAAACUUUAAGGAAUUGGCGGGGGAGCGCCACAAGGGGUGCGGCGUGCGGUUCAAUCUAACUCAACGCAGAGAACCUCACUAGGCCCGACGGCAGAAUGAAGGCCACGCUGAAGACGUUACCUGACAAGCCGAGAGGUAGUGCAUGGCCGUCGCCAGCUCGUGCUGUGAAGUGUCCAGUUAAGUCUGGCAACGAGCGAGACCUGUACCCUCUAUUGCUAACGACUUAUAUAUAGGAUCGAGCACUUUGAGGGGACUGCCCUGGAACGGGGAGGAAGGUGCAGGCUACGGUAGGUCUGUAUGCUCCGAAUGGUCUAGGCUACACGCGCGCAACAAUGAUAGGGACAAUGGGAUGCCACUCCGAAAGGAGGAGCUAAGCCUCUAAACCCUAUCCUAGUACAGAUCGAGGCA